AAAUUGAAGAGUUUGAUCAUGGCUCAGAUUGAACGCUGGCGGCAGGCCUAACACAUGCAAGUCGAACGGUAACAGGAAGAAGCUUGCUUCUUUGCUGACGAGUGGCGGACGGGUGAGUAAUGUCUGGGAAACUGCCUGAUGGAGGGGGAUAACUACUGGAAACGGUAGCUAAUACCGCAUAACGUCGCAAGACCAAAGAGGGGGAGCUUCGGGCCUCUUGCCAUCGGAUGUGCCCAGAUGGGAUUAGCUAGUAGGUGGGGUAACGGCUCACC
rnacentral:rRNA from 1 species